AAAGAAUUAGUUUUAAAAAUAGUAGUAUGUCAUACUAAAGAAAUUAGAAAAAUAUAACUAAUAUUCUUUU
rnacentral:tRNA from 1 species